rnacentral:rRNA from 1 species
GACGAACGCUGGCGGCGUGCCUAAUACAUGCAAGUGGGACGCAAGGAAACACACUGUGCUUGCACACCGUGUUUUCUUGAGUCGCGAACGGGUGAGUAACGCGUAGGUAACCUGCCUAUUAGCGGGGGAUAACUAUUGGAAACGAUAGCUAAUACCGCAUAAUAUUAAUUAUUGCAUGAUAAUUGAUUGAAAGAUGCAAGCGCAUCACUAGUAGAUGGACCUGCGUUGUAUUAGCUAGUUGGUAAGGUAAGGGCUUACCAAGGCGACGAUACAUAGCCGACCUGAGAGGGUGAUCGGCCACACUGGGACUGAGACACGGCCCAGACUCCUACGGGAGGCAGCAGUAGGGAAUCUUCGGCAAUGGGCGAAAGUCUGACCGAGCAACGCCGCGUGAGUGAAGAAGGUUUUCGGAUCGUAAAGCUCUGUUGUAAGUCAAGAACGUGUGUGAGAGUGGAAAGUUCCCUCAGUGCCGGUCGCUUACCAGAAAGGGCCGGCUAACUCCGU